CUGAAAUUCCAAGUUACGACUAUGUUCU
rnacentral:misc_RNA from 1 species